rnacentral:rRNA from 1 species
UGGGGAAUCUUGGACAAUGGGCGCAAGCCUGAUCCAGCCAUGCCGCGUGAGUGAAGAAGGCCUUCGGGUUGUAAAGCUCUUUUACCAGGGACGAUAAUGACGGUACCUGGAGAAUAAGCCCCGGCAAACUUCGUGCCAGCAGCCGCGGUAAUACGAAGGGGGCUAGCGUUGUUCGGAAUUACUGGGCGUAAAGCGCACGUAGGCGGAUUGUUAAGUCAGAGGUGAAAUCCCGGAGCUCAACUUCGGAACUGCCUUUGAUACUGGCAAUCUAGAGUCCGGAAGAGGUUAGUGGAAUUCCCAGUGUAGAAGUGAAAUUCGUAGAUAUUGGGAAGAACACCAGUGGCGAAGGCGGCUAACUGGUCCGGUACUGACGCUGAGGUGCGAAAGCGUGGGGAGCAAACAGGAUUAGAUACCCCCGUAGUCCCUGAGCGGGCUGGCAAGGCGCAU